rnacentral:rRNA from 1 species
UACGUAGGGUGCGAGCGUUAAUCGGAAUUACUGGGCGUAAAGCGUGCGCAGGCGGUUCGUUAAGUCAGCUGUGAAAGCCCCGGGCUUAACCUGGGAAUGGCGGUUGAAACUGGCGAACUUGAAUCUGGCAGAGGGGGGUGGAAUUCCACGUGUAGCAGUGAAAUGCGCAGAUAUCAGGAGGAACACCUAUUGCGAAGGCAGCUCGCUGGGACGUAACUGACGCUGAGACGCGAAAGCGUGGGGAGCAAACAGG